UACAUGUCUAUAUGUGUGUUAACAUGUGCAUGUAUGUGUGCACAUGCCUAUGUGUACACACGUACAAUGUGUGCAUGCAUGUACGCACCUAUAUAAGCAUGUGUGUGCCUGUCUGUAUGUGUACAUCUCUGUGUACACAUACAUGUGUGUAUAGGCAUGUAUGCAUGUGUGUGGCUGCCUGUACGUGUACGUCUGCAUGUGUCCACAUAUGUGUGUAUAGGCAUGUAUACAUGUGCAUGUGGUUUGGAACAGGGAGCUACAGCAUGACAGGCAUGGCAUUGUUCAGAGAAGAGAAGUGAGAGAAAGCUCCUGAACUCCUCCUCAGGAAGGCAUCAGGAAGCGCGGCCUCUGCCUAUCGGGAUCUCACCACAGGGCUCUCCUCCCGACCCACUCCGCUGUGAGUAGAAGGGGGACAUUGUCCCCACCAAGCCCCUGCAUCCAGUUCUUUCCCAGCUGCUUGCCUUUUUCUCUGCAGGCUCCUGUAGGAUGUACAGAGCCUCUUCAAGGGUAGUCCCUGUGACUUCCACCAUGGGGUUGAGAGUGCAGACUGAGUUUUAUGGAAAUAUCUCACGUGGUUCCACUUUCUCUGUUGGGGCCACUGAGCAAUGCAUUCCUUCUGGGCCCGUGUGGCCUUAUUUUUCUGUUUUUUUCUUCACGCCCUAUUGUUGAAGGUUCUAUGGUUUCAUAUGCUUUAUCCCGAUAGCAUGUUGCCCCCUCAUAGCAGCUGGUUAUUUGGCCCUGAUGAGGUGGAGCUGGGGUUCCCGUUCCGGCUCCAGCCCUGGGCUGUUUGAAAUUCACCCCGCCCUGGCUCUUGAUUUCCUCUCCCUCUGGUUUCUAGUAAGGGGAGCGCCAGUCCAGUCUGAGCUCCACUGUCACUGCCGUCACCUUCUGAUGGAAACCUGCUAGUUGUAAAGUCACCUCCCUCCAUGCUCCAUGGGAAUGCUUGACGACUCCAGAUAUCCUAUAAUUAACUGCAGGGCUUGACGGGGGACAGAGAAACUCCACCGCAUGUUUAUUUUUACAAAGAGGCAGCCGCACAGAGGUUGCUGAGCACACAUUUAUGCUGAAACACUCGCCUAGGCAGCCCUCUUCAUGGCCUGUAGGAUGACAGUGAGGGCACUGUUGUGUUCAGCAAUUGCCACAGGAAAUGACUUUAUGCAAAUAAUCCCAGGGGAGAUGCUGUAGGCUCUGAGAAAGCCGUAAUUACAGCUUCCACCCGGGCAUUUUCAGUGAUCAAGUCUCUGGAAUGUAAUCUUUCCAGGCCUUCUGGAACUGGGAGUGAUAAACAAUCAUUUGGGAUAAUUGCCCGAGAGCAGCCUCCACUCUCCCAGAGGCCGUGGGGCAGAAAUUCCAAGUCCCUGCCUCUGAGAAGGGGGUCCUUUGGCCACCUCCCUCCGCGGUCCUGGCCAACAUGUCUGCAUCUCUGAAAUGGAGCUUUCCUCUCUCCUGGGCUGUUCGGAAACCGCCUUCUGGGAUAGACAUCUCCAAGGAAGAGCUGUGUCUACUUUGUUUCUUCCCCGCCUCUCACACCCGGUUCAAUGUGAUACCACAAAUAUGGCGAGCUGUUUGAAAUAAUUUGCAGAACCCAACACUGAAGACAAGCUCCAACCUUCCAGGGUAUAUUUUGAGUAUUUUAGCACGAGUGUCAAGAUUUUAUGCGUUACAGUAUGCUCAUGAUAUCUUCCCUGCGGUUUAUUUUGGGCGAGAUAAAAUCUGUAGCAAUUAGUUUCUCACAAGUCUAUUUUAUGCAGAAGAAUCUGUUAUUUCCUAGGCGUGUGAUUUCUUUGGUUUUACCUUUACCAUGAGUGUCUUCCUUCCCAGAUCUCUGCUCCCCCUUGGGGUUGGCAGUUGUCCUUCGCUUCUGCCUUCUGGGCUGUGCUCCGUCCCUUAAAUGCUGUUUGGGAAGACGUCAAGUGCAAAUGAGGAAGCUGCUGUAGGUAUCCCUGCGAUCGAAGGAAAUAAAAAUUCUGUCUCUCUGGAAUUAGGAAGAGCAUGCAGAACGUUGAAAGGGUUUAAGAUGGACUAAGGUGUGUGUGAAAAUGCCUCUUUUCAAAAAACCAGAAAAGAGAGCCUGCACUAAUUACAUGAUUGUGCUUUCUUUUUAAAAAAGUUUCCAAUUUUACUUAAAUGGGAGAGAAACCACAGCGGAUGAGGCACUCCAGGCCUUUUUCUUUUUUUCAGCAGUGGAGCAGCAGAAAUCAUGGAUCACAAGUGUCUCUGUAAUCAGGCUGCACCGAGACAUUUCUCGGCAUUUCUGAUGUUUCAACCCUACCCCACCUGCCAGGAGGAGGCUCCAGCCCGCCAGGAGGGCAGGAGGCCAUUGCUGCUGCCACUCCAGAACCUCAUAAGGGUUUAUUGUCUGCCCACAGUGUAUUUGUCAAGGUGGGCACCUUGCGUCGUGGGGCACUCUGUUUUUUUUUCUCUCUCUUUCUUUAUAUAUAUGCAUACACAGACACACACACACAAACACACACACACACACGGUCAUUGCAGUUUACAAAGAAAAGAAAAGAAAAAAAAGAAGAAAAGAAAAGAAAAAAGGCAAACCAAUUCCCCUCUGUCUGGGACCCAGAUCAGAGCCAGCCUGCCAUGACCAGUCUGGAAGAAGGUGGCAGAGAGGUGGGGCAGCUUCCCGAGGCCUGGGAGGUGCGUCUCCAUGGCAACUGCGGGGCUUUCCCAGAUGAUGUCACACAUCACACAGGAUUCCUGAGAUCCACCUGGAGAUUGGCUGGUGAAGGAUCACUGCCUUUUAUCUUGUUCCAACUCUUUAUUUGCGCUAUAGACAGGCACUGUUUCUUACUUUAGCUCCGAGAGCAGUUUCUUCUUGAUACCUAAACUGCUGGGCUGACCCCUUGUAUCCUAGAUUCUUUACAAGGGGGAAAAAUAUGUUUUUUAAACAAACGUGUUACCAGGGUGAAGUCUGAGGAGCUGGAAGGGAGGGAGACAGGGGCUUUGCUGUCCUGAAGUGAUGCCUUUGCUGUGGCGUGACAGCUCAGACUGGAGCCGGGCCCCAGGGAAGGGACUAAGUAGGUGUCUGUUGCUUUUCCAGCUCUCCUACUAGCCGAUCAGCUCUUCUCCCAGGUGGACCUCCUGAUCCUCCGGAACCUCCUGGGUCCUGUCCCAGCAGCUGCAAUUUGCAGAAGAGGAGAUUGGUCAGGAGGGAGAUGCCGUGGCCUCACUAGCAGCUGCAGGCUCUUUGCCUGUUUGUGGUGUAAAUGUUUGAGUCUCCCCCUAAUUCACAUGCUGAAAUUCUCACCCCCAAGGUGAUGGUGUUAGGAGGUGGGGGCUUUAGGAUAUGAUGAACUCAUAAAGGUGGACCCCCCAUGAAUGGGAUUCGAGCCCUUUUGAAAGAGAUCCUGGAGAGCUCCCUCACUCCUUCCUCACUCCUUCCACCAUGUGAGGACACAGUGAGAAGCCGCCAUCUAUGACCCAGGAAGCAGAUACUCACCAGAUACCAGAUCUGCCAGAACCUUGAUCUGGGACUUCUGACCUUUAACACUGUGAGAAGUGACUGUGCUGUUUGAAAGUCACAGUCUAUGGUGACAGAACGCCACAGGGGACUCAGAUAUGGCCCCCAUGCUUGCUACAGGAAGCCUGCGGUGGAGCCCUCUUCCCUCCUUGAAGUCUGGAUAUGACUGAAAAACUGUGGGUUCAAGUGUAAACAGGCUUGUUCUGUGAAGAUGGACCUUUAUUCUGGUAGAUUUCAGCGUGUCUUGCUUGUAUUCUCAAUUGUGACUUAAGAUGGGUGUCGCUGGCCCAGGGUGAGACAACGGGAACUGGCAUGGAUGCGGCUGGAGGGUACGCACCCUUCUUAAGUGGUAACAGGUGAUGUUCAUGGAGUGUACAUUCUGAGCCAAGCAUUAUUUUUUUUAAUUAAUUCUCUUUAUAAGUCUAUGAGAAAAGUGUUCUUAUUAGCCCCAUUUUAAAGAUGCAGAGACGGAGACACCGGGAAGUUGCAUGAUCUGAGUGCCUUAUGGCUGGUGCUGCAAGAGCUAGGAGAGGAGCCAGGAGGUCCCCGUCCAGUGCCUGCACCUACUGCCAAGCUGUCCUCCCUGCCAGGUCACCACCUGAGAGCAGAAGCUGAGAGAAACUUGCUCUCUGCCCUGGUGGAGGCUGCAGGCCCUAGGAGGGAGGUUGACUCCUUGCCCCACCAGCUCCAUGAUUCUGUUUUGUACGGGCCCCACAUAGCACGUCCAUCUGCCCUGGGCUGCGAGAAGAGGCACCAGAACUUUGCAGUCAAUCAGUUCCAAUAGCUGACUAAGACUGAAUUGUGUUCAUGACCAGCACUACUUGAAGCAAUAUAGAAGAUGUACUUUGAGUCAAUCAGGGAACUCUGCAGGCAACACUCAUGUAGAAAAACAGAAAAAAAAAUCAAGGUAGAAGAAUACAAAGCAACUAAAACGGCACUCAUGCAGAAGCCAAUGCCAGGCAUUCUCCAUUGCUGAUAGAUUUAAGUUGCUGGCACGAGGCUAGAAGAAAAGGCAAAAUGAAGCAUUUAAAUAAUUCAAUUUUUCACAAAAGUACAGGUUAAUUCCACAUCUUGGCGAUUGUGAUCAGUGCUGCAUAAAUAUGGGGUGCAGGUGUCUCUUUGGCACACUGAUUUCCUUUCCUUGGGGUGCAUACUCAGAAGUGGGAUUGCUGGAUCAGAGUUCUACUUUUAGUUUCUUGAGGAACCUCCAUACUGUUUUUCACAGUGGCUGUUCUAGCUUACAUUUCUAUCAACAGUGUACAAGAGUUUUCUUUUCUUGGCAUCUUUGCCAGCAUUGAUUUUUUCGUCCUUUUGAUAAUAGCUGUUUUAACUGGGGUGAGAUGGUAUCUCAUUGUGCUUUUGAUUUGUAUUUGAUGAUUAGUGAUGUUGAACAUUUUAAAUAUAUUCGUAUUUGCCAUGUGUAUGUCUCCUUUUGAGAAAUACUUAUUUUAUCAUAGCACUAUUCACAAUAGCCAAGACGUGGAAUCAACCUAAGUGUCCAUCAACAGAUGAAUGGAUAAAGAAAAUGUGGUGCAUAUACGCAGUGGAAUACUAUUCAGCCAUAAAAGGAAGGGAAUCUUGUCAUUUGCGGUAGUGAGGAUGGAACUGAAGGACCUAUGCUAAGUGAAAUAAGCCAGGCUCAGAAAGACGGGUCAUGCAUGUUCUCACUCAUAUGUAGACUCUAAAGAAGUUGACCUCAUGAAGGCAGAGCAUAGAUGAUGGUAACUGAAGGCUGGGAAGGGUGGAGAGAUAAGGAGAGGUUGGUUAAUGGGUACAUACAGUUAGAUGAAGAAAUAGGUUCUAGUGUUUGAUGAUACAAUAGGAUGACUAUAGUUAGCAAUAAUUUAUUGUAUAUUUCAAAAUAGCUAGAAGAGAUUUGAAAUUGAUAUGGUUUGGCUGUGUCCCACCCAAAUCUCAUCUGGAAUUAUAGCUUCCAUAAUUCCAAUGUGUUGUGGGAGGGACCCAGUGGGAGAUAAUUGAAUCAUGGGAGUGGUUUCCCCCAUACUGUUCUUGUGGUAGUGAACAAGUCUCGUGAGAUCUGAUGGCUUUAUAAGGGGAAACCCUUUUCACUUGGUUUUCAAUUCUCUCUUGUCUGCCACCAUGUAAGACAUGCCUUUCACUUUCCACCAUGAUUGUGAGGCCUCCUCAACCAUGUGGAACUGUGAGUCCAUUAAACCUCUUUCUCUUUAUAAAUUACCUAGUCUCAGGUAUGUCUUUAUCAGCAGCAUGAAAACAGACUAAUACAGAAGUUCUCUCAACACAAAGAAAUGACAAAUGUUUGCAGUGAUGGAUAUCCUAAUUACCCUCGUUUACCAUUACACAUUGUAUGUGUGUAUCGAAAUAUCACAGGUUCCCCAUAAAUAUGUACCAUUGUUUUGUAUCAGUAAAGUGGAAGAAAACAUUGAAAAAUAAUGACAAAAAGUGACAAAUGUUUGCAGUGAUGGAUGUCCUAAUUACUCUAUUUGACCAUUACACAUUGUACGUAUGUAUCGAAAUAUCAUAGGUUCCCCAUAAAUAGGUACCAUUAUUAUGUAUCAAUAAAAAGGAAGAAAACAUUGAAAAAUACAGAUUAAAUUUUUGAAUGAAACUUUAUUUUCUGUUGUUUUUACCUCCCCCAAUCCCCACGACCAGCUCUGAAGUAUUCAGACAAAAUUCCCUCUUGAGUAUUAUUAAUAAGGAAGAUACUGGGUGAUGAGCAGAUGACAAACCUCCUCUGAUUGCCCGUCCUGGGAAACCUUUCUGCGGCAUGUCGAAAUGCACCCCUCCAUGUAAGUCAAGAGCCCAACACUAAUGACAAGGCAGUACAAGCUCCUCCAUCUGGGGUCAGGCAGAUAAAGUCCGAGUUCACAGUUUGUUUCUUUUAUGCAGUGAAGAACAGAAGAAUGAAAUGCAUAUCAUUUGUACAAUUCCCCAGCAGUAUUAUUUCUCAGAAUCAGGCCUUGAGAUACAUUGAAAGAACAAAAACUGUAAAGUUAUGGUCUCAGUAAUGUUGUAUAAGUGUAUCAGCUGGCCGUGACUGACAUCCCUGCAUGAAAUGUAUGGAUCCUUCCAAGACUCCGAUAUAAAUGGGAACCACCUCUCGCUUUUAUGUGGAGGUGGGUGCUAGAAUGCUGCAGGCAGCACCACUAAGGCCAAGAGACUCUGUCUUGGAAGCUAAUCUCCCAUGUUGGCUUUGAUGAACCCCAGUUCCAGGAAGGCCUCCAAGAUUUUCAGUUUAUCGAUUGUUCCUUGUGUUAGAGCAGGCACUUAGCAUAAAUCCUGCCUGUAGGUCAAACAACUGUGAUGUUGUCAUACUUCAGUUGUCCUGCAUGUCUCUUCUGAACCACCCUUUCCCUGGUACAUGAGCUCCAGGUCUGGGGCUAAUGGCGGGGAUCCAUUCUCUUGUCUAGUCCCCUAAGACACAGACGUGGCUUCUGUUUGUAAGACACUGUUAAAUGUUUCUUUUUAAGAGACUGGAUUUGCCAGCCUCUUUCUUUGGCCUCUCAGCCUCCUUGGACUUUGGGGACAGGUUUGCAUAGACUUGCCCACUGUGAAACAGAAGGUAGGUGUUGAUCACUAUAACCCUCAUGCAAAUAAUUGCAAAUAAUUGGCUCGUUUAAGCCCCAAGUUCUACGUUAUUGGCCGUAAAAAUUGAAUGGUGAAGUUUAACCAGUUGGUUAUGAAUGUAGUUUUUUAUUUCAAGGCAAUUUACCUAUUUAAGCCUCAAAUGCUUCAUCAAUUAAUUGAGAAUGGUAUUAGUGCCUAUAUAUUUGAAGGUGUUGUAAGAUCCAAAUGAGAUAGUAUAUGUAAAGAAAUUAGUACUGUGAUAAAUCAGGUAUCGUAUAGAUACGUGAUACUGUAGAUAAAUCAUAUAGUUUAUGAUCCAUAAAUACUGUUAUAGGAGUAUGGCUGUGAUGAUUUAAUCUGGAACAUCUUAAAACUGCCCAUAGCAUUUGCUCAUGGAGGCAUUAACAUAUAUCAAAAUAAUCUCCAUCAUGAUCAACUUUUAAGCAGUGUAGUUUUCCAGUGAACCCUUGAUGAAGAUAAAUAAGUUACCAGAUAUACCCCUAAUUAAGCAAAUGAAUUUAUUUGCUCCACAGUGUUAUUAGAUAUAGACAACUUUAACACUGGUUUUAGAUCAUAAAGUAUUUUCUCCUGGCGACUGCAGAAAGAAGAGCUUUAUGUCUCUAUUCUGAAUUGAGGAGGUAUGGUUGGCAAGGGGUUGGGGAAGGCUUUCGUUUAUUCGGAAGUCUUUUUGAAUCCAGGCAAAGGUUAAAUGUUUCAUAUACACCAUAGAAUAAUAUGCAGCCA